rnacentral:rRNA from 1 species
UGGGGAAUAUUGCACAAUGGGCGCAAGCCUGAUGCAGCCAUGCCGCGUGUGUGAAGAAGGCCUUCGGGUUGUAAAGCACUUUCAGCGAGGAGGAAGGUGGUGAACUUAAUACGUUCAUCAAUUGACGUUACUCGCAGAAGAAGCACCGGCUAACUCCGUGCCAGCAGCCGCGGUAAUACGGAGGGUGCAAGCGUUAAUCGGAAUUACUGGGCGUAAAGCGCACGCAGGCGGUUUGUUAAGUCAGAUGUGAAAUCCCCGGGCUCAACCUGGGAACUGCAUUUGAAACUGGCAAGCUAGAGUCUCGUAGAGGGGGGUAGAAUUCCAGGUGUAGCGGUGAAAUGCGUAGAGAUCUGGAGGAAUACCGGUGGCGAAGGCGGCCCCCUGGACGAAGACUGACGCUCAGGCUGCGAAAGCGUGGGGCAGCAAACAGGAUUAGAUACCCUGGUAGUCCACGCUGUAAACGAUGUCGAUUUGGAGGUUGUGCCCUUGAGGCGUGGCUUCCGGAGCUAACGCGUUAAGUCGACCGCCUGGGGAGUACGG